rnacentral:rRNA from 1 species
AACGAACGCUGGCGGCAUGCUUAACACAUGCAUGUCGAACGAAGUGUUGCACGGGUGCGUAACCCGUGGGAAUCUGCCCCCAGGUUCGGAAUACCAGCUGGAAACGGCUGCUACUUCCGGAUGCCUGCGGAUGAGCCCGCGUUGGAUUAGGUAGUUGGUGGGGUAAAGGCCUACCAAGCCGACGAUCCAUAGCUGGUCUGAGAGGAUGAUCAGCCACACUGGGACUGAGACACGGCCCAGACUCCUGCGGGAGGCAGCAUUGGGGAAUCUUGGACAAAGGGCGAAAGCCUGAGGAAGCAAAGCCGCCGGGGUGAUGAAAGCCAUAGGAUUGUAAAGCGUUUUUACCCGGGGAGCUGUACCGGGAGAAUAAGCCCCGGCUAACUCCGUGCCAGCGGCCGCGGUAAUUC